rnacentral:rRNA from 1 species
AGUGAACGCUGGCGGCAGGCCUAAUACAUGCAAGUCGAACGGCAGCACAGUGGAGCUUGCUCCAUGGGUGGCGAGUGGCGGACGGGUGAGGAAUACAUGGGAAUCUGCCCAGUCGUGGGGGAUAACGUAUGGAAACGUACGCUAAUACCGCAUGCGCCCUUCGGGGAAAGUCGGGGACCGCAAGGCCUGACGCGAUUGGAUGAGCCCAUGUUCGAUUAGCUAGUUGGCGGGGUAACGGCCCACCAAGGCGACGAUCGAUAGCUGGUCUGAGAGGAUGAUCAGCCACACUGGAACUGAGACACGGUCCAGACUCCUACGGGAGGCAGCAGUAGGGAAUAUUGGACAAUGGGGGCAACCCUGAUCCAGCCAUGCCGCGUGAGUGAAGAAGGCCCUCGGGUCGUAAAGCUCUUUGUUGGGGAAGAAAAGCAGUUGGUUAAUACCCGAUUGUCUGACGGUACCCAAAGAAUAAGCACCGGCUAACUUCGUGCCAGCAGCCGCGGUAAUC